CCCCCGAUCUCGUCCGAUCUCGGAAGGUAAACCGCCCCGGGCCUGGCUAGUACUUGGAUGGGUGACCGCCUGGGAAUCCCAGGUGCUGUAGGCA
rnacentral:rRNA from 1 species